CACAUAUUAAGCUCUGGGCUUUGUGGUGUUGUGUUUUUGUGCAAGGAGAUCAGACUGGAAUGAGGACAACUCAAAGAUAGUUACAUAGAGCAAGUACUUGGAGCUGUGAUGAAACAUGUGGAUAAAAGAGCGUGAUCCGUAAAGCUUGUGAAGAAAAGUGAGAUCUUUAGCGAUGUGACGGAGCCAAUAAUAGAGCCAGAGGACAUAAUGUUCAGAUGCUUUUGAUGUCCCUGGCACAUGUGAGAUGGUAUGGAGGUGCCCGUCACUUUUCCUUCUCCUUUACUGGAGGGGCUGGAUUUGGAUCUGAACACUCGCUAUCAGCUCGGGCAUCUCACUGCUGACAUCACUAUGCUAUACGUUCUUCGCACCCCCUCUGGAAAUGCAGGGAUCCCCCCACCUCUCAGAUACAGAAUCCGCCCCGCGAAUGUGUGUAUUGACGCCUCUACACAGAUAGACCCUUUGUCUGACCCUCCCUCCAGCUUUCAGUCUGGGGAUGAUGUCACCUUCUCUAAUCUGGGCUCUGACCAUUCUCCCCUUUUCUCACCUGCCAGUCCCGAGUACUCUCCGCAGUACACCUCGGCUGGCUAUCCCACGUCCCCAGGACGCACCCCAUUUUAUUACUCGUUUUCUCCCUACCGCUCCCCUCAGGAAUACACUCCCACCAGUCCUGUGAAUUCUCAAUAAAAUUACAUACUGUUCAUACUUAGUCUGUGAACCUCAAUAAACUUACAAGUUAAUCAUACUUGGUCUCGCUCGUGCUUAUUUCAUGCAAUUUUUAUACACAACAAAGGGUAUGAGGAAGGGUAUACCAUUUAUGUGUGUCUAUUUAUAUAUAUUAUAAAUACCGAAAAAAUGACCUAAACAUAGGAAAUCUUUUCAAUUAAAUGGUCUGUGUGUGCGUGCAUGUAUAUACUCACUGAGGAAUGAUGGUUUAGUUGCAUCUAGUGGAUUAUAAGACAGAGCGGGAGGGAGAGAGAGAGAGAGAAUAUAUAUAUAUUAUAGGAACAUUACAAUACAGUGUGUUAUUUGUCAUUGUUAGUCUAAACAACGCCCCUGAUUAAACUCAUUAGCUAAUUAGCACUGUGUGAGGUCAGAUCACAUGUCUGGUACAAUGACUAAAAGCAAUUACUGUAAUUACUAAAUUUAAUGACAUCCGCCUCCGCCUCCUCCCUGUGUGCGUAGAGUUUGCGUGUUCUCUCUGUGCUUCGGGGGUUUACUCCGGCUGCUCCGGGGUCAAGUUAGUAUACCAAUCAGUAUCCAGAAUUCCUACUCUCUACAUAUGAGUGCUCUAAAUACCACCCAUAACUUAGAAUAAUUUUGGAAUUUGAAGGUCUUGAGAAACAUUUCUAACCAAACCAGAAUAUCAUAUUUGUACACUAAAAUGAGUAAAUAUGACAUCAUACCAUGUGACAUUGCCCAUCAUCUCCUGGCAAAUUUCAGAGAAGAGUACGGAGGAGCUGUAAUGUACAAUACCAUCUCCAGGUGGCAGUGUGGCAUCGUCCAAGCACAGACCUUUCCUACAGAGACAAAUUAGUGUUAGAGCAAUGCAUAAUAAAUUCCAGAGAUAUUGUCGGAGGUUACUAGAAGGUAUUUCACUUCUUAUCCAUCCUACUUCAUAAACUUCUCCGUAAAUAAUUAAUCAUAAUGAAAUCCGGUUUGGUCUCUCACUCACCCACUCUCUUCGCCUCCCCGAUUAGUUGAACUCAUAAAGUGCUGUUACUGCUUUUCUGAUGUAGGAGCUGCCGGGUCUACAUGGGCUUAACUGAAGCAGCACUGUGCAGGUAGUGCUUCUGUGAUGGAGGAGAUGGCACUUAAUUAGCUAUUAUUUAUGUAAUCAUAAAAGCAAUCGCAUUUGGGUCUACGUUUAGCAGAAUAUUUGAGAUUGACAUAAAAUUCAGCAUCUUCACCGUCCAGGUUAAUGUCCUGUAAUGAAUAAAAGCAACAUGACUCAGGAUAUAGUCAUUCAAUUUUGUUAUUACAGUAAUUGCUCCUAGUAAAUGCAUCAGAUUCUAG
ensembl:lncRNA